UAAGGAAUAUUGGUCAAUGGAGGCAACUCUGAACCAGCCAUGCCGCGUGAAGGAUUAAGGCCCUCUGGGUUGUAAACUUCUUUUAUAUGGGAAGAAAUGUACUUUUUCUAAAGUGCUUGACGGUACCAUAGGAAUAAGCACCGGCUAACUCCGUGCCAGCAGCCGCGGUAAUACGGAGGGUGCAAGCGUUAUCCGGAUUUACUGGGUUUAAAGGGUGCGUAGGCGGAUGAAUAAGUCAGUGGUGAAAUCUCCGAGCUUAACUCGGAAACUGCCGUUGAUACUAUUUGUCUUGAGUAUUGUGGAGGUAAGCGGAAUAUGUCAUGUAGCGGUGAAAUGCUUAGAUAUGACAUAGAACACCAAUUGCGAAGGCAGCUUGCUACACAAUCAUUGACGCUGAGGCACGAAAGCGUGG
rnacentral:rRNA from 1 species